GUCAGCACCCCGCGCUGAAGCGACGGGGCUUCAUGCCUCACCGACCGUAUUAGCUGACCAGCCUAAGUCUUAACUGACUACUUUUUUGAGUCAAGACACCCUGCGGAUGCGCGAGCCGCGUCCCUGGCUCUGUC
rnacentral:sRNA from 1 species